rnacentral:pre_miRNA from 1 species
AAAAAGACAAACCCUGGGUUUCCGUGUCCAACGUUUGACUGUCCGUAUUAUAAGAAUUUUUUUUAUAAUUUCUAUUUUUAUUGUUGUUAGAUGAUAAACAUGAUCAAUACUUUAUACGUGACUUGUUUUUUUAAUUUUUUUCAUAAUUUUUUUAAAUAAGACGAACGGUCAAACGUUGGACACGGAAACCCAGGAUUUAUCUUUUU